AAGGAUUUAAGUUAAAAAAACUAUUAACCUUCAAAGUUAAAAUUAGACCAAAAUCUAAGCCUUA
rnacentral:tRNA from 1 species